rnacentral:rRNA from 1 species
UUUUUUUAAAAAAAUAAUUUAUUUAUUUAGGGUUUUAGUAUUAAUUAAAAAUUAAUUUAAGGGUUUAUAGUUUAAUAGUAUUGUAAAAAAAUUAAUUAAUUUUAUAAAAGAAUAUUUUUUAGUACCUUUUGUAUCCGGGUKGAUUAAAAUUUUUAAUUUUUUUUUAAUUUCUCAAAAUUUAUAGAGUUAAUUUUAUUAUUAAUUUAUUGUGUUAUAAAUAAUUUAUAAAAUAAUAUUGGUUUUGAAAUUUAAUUCGUUAUAUUAUAUUUAGUUAUUUAAGAUUUAAAUUUAAUUUAAAAUUUUAAAAGUUAUAUUAAUUUAAUAUAUUAAUAUUUUAAAUUUAAAGUAUUUUAGGGAUAAGCUUAAAAUUUUUAUAUAAUAAUUUAUUUAUUUUAAUAAUUUAUAGGAAUAGAAAUUUUUAUUUAAAGUUUGUAAAAAUUUAUUAUUUAUUAAUUUUUAAUUUAUUAUAAAUUUAUUUAUUUUUUGUAUUAAAUUUUAUUAAUUAAUAUUUAAUUUUUAGUAAUAAUGAUUAAAUUAGUAUAAUUUAAAUUUAUAAAUUAUGAAUUCGGCAAAAAUUAUUUUCAUCUGUUUAACAAAAACAUUGUAUUAAGUUUAAUUUAAUAUAGGAUCUGCUCAAUGAUUUAUUAAAUAGCUGCAGUAUUUUGACUGUGCAAAGGUAGCAUAAUAAUUAGUCUUUUAAUUGAGGACUUGUAUGAAAGAUUUGAUGAGAAAUAAACUUUAUUAUUUAUAUAAUUAAAAUUUUAUUUUUAAGUAAAAAAGCUUAAUUAUUUAAAGGGACGAUAAGACCCUAUAAAACUUUAUAAAUAUUAAUUUUAAUUUUUUUGGAUUUAUAAAUAUUUUGAUUUUAAUAUUUAUUUUAUUGGGGGGAUAAAAAAAAUUAUUUAACUUUUUUUAAAAUUUUACAUAAUUUAAUGAAUAUUUGAAUUAAAAUUUUUAAUUAUAGGAAAAAGCUACUCUAGGGAUAACAGCGUAAUUAAUCUUUUAAGUUCAAAUUUAAAAAUUAGUUUGCGACCUCGCUCUUGAAUUAAGAUUAAUCUUAGCCCCCAAAUUUUAAGUAUUAGGUCUG